CGCCACCUGCGGUGUUCGAUGCGGGCCUGGGUACCUCUCGACCCUAAUGUGAAACACCCAGGAGCCCGGCUCAGCGGCAGCAUUGUGCAAGUCCGCCUCGUAGCGGAAAGCCUUAAAUGCCGCGGCUUGCUCCACCUGUUGCUCCGUGUCGAGAGCAGCGGCCCAAGACGGCACAGGCGGGUGGCGC
rnacentral:other from 1 species